AGGCAAGACUAUCUAGCUAGUGUUCCCUGCCUAUUUGAGGCCUUCUGAAGGAGGAAGCUACUGAGUUGAAUGAAUAGAUUACUCCCGAAGAAGAAUGUUGGCUCUACCGUCUGCAAAGCAUUGCCAGUUCGUCUGUGAAUCAUUUAUCAGCUUUUGCACCAAAGCCACUCCACUACACUUCAUACAGUGAUGGCUCAUGGAAUGGGCUGGCCAGGAAGAGGAAGACUGCUCUAAGUCUUCACCUGGACUCAGACAGAAGGCAAGCUCUGCCUUGCAGGCAUAAAGCAUAAACUCUUGCAGUUUCUUCAGCAAGAGAAUGAAUGCUAUGAAAUAAGGAGCUAGUUGUUCUCAGGAAAAUGGAAUGGAAAUGAAAUAGAAAAAAGCCAAACUGUUAAAAUAAAGGAAGAAAGUAUAGUC